CCACGAUUCACAUUGGAGAACAUGACAAACAAGACAAGUUCUGAAGCCAAGAAACUCGGAUUCCUUUUCAUUCCCAAACAGAACUAUGGUGGGUCGGGUUAUCUGAGGCAAAAUUCCUGACAGCGUCUGCUUUGGGCUCUGAGCUCCGGGCUCCCUGCAAUGACUUGAAUCUGGUGGGCCCGGAUGGAGGGUUUGACUGACUCUGAAAGCAUAACCUGGAACAAAACGAAGGGGGAGGCCCAGACUCCCACCCUGAUGCUCCCCCGUGAGGCACCUAGAAAUGAACACAGUAGCCAAAUGUGGUCUGAUCAAGGCAGCCAAGUCAUCAAGCACUUAUUAAGCACCUAACCUACAGAGUGCCAGAGUUGGAGGAACCAAAGCAACUGUUCCCUGCAUGGAGGUUUGACAGUGAUUGUGGCUGAUGAUCCUAGGGAUUUCUUUGACUGAGGGAAGAUUUGGAAAAGUAUGUUAUAUCUAAUUCAAUUCAAUGUGACUCAAGAUAACAAAUAUUCAAUAAGAAGCUACUAAAGUGUCAGGCUCUGUGCUAAAUACUCAUCAUACACAGAUAAGAAAUUACACAUUCUGUUUUCCAGAAACUUGCAAUCCAAUAAAGGAAGAGAAAAGAAUACA
rnacentral:lncRNA from 1 species